GGAGAGGUGGCUGAGUGGUCGAAAGCGCCGCUCUCGAAAAGCGGUAGGGCCGCAAGGUCCUCGUGGGUUCGAAUCCCACCCUCUCCGCCA
rnacentral:tRNA from 1 species